AUUGAACGCUGGCGGCAGGCUUAACACAUGCAAGUCGAGCGAGCGGCGGACGGGAGAGUAAUGUCUGGGAAACUGCCUGAUGGAGGGGGAUAACUACUGGAAACGGUAGCUAAUACCGCAUACCAUCAGAUGUGCUCAGAUGGGAUUAGCUAGUAGGUGGGGUAAUGGCUCACCUAGGCGACGAUCCCUAGCUGGUCUGAUAGGAUGACCAGCCACACUGGAACUGAGACAGAGUCCAGACUCCUACGGUAGGCAGCAGGGGGGAAUAUUGGACAAUGGGCGAAAGCCUGAUGCAGCCAUGCCGCGUGUGUGAAGAAGGCCUUCGGGUUGUAAAGAACUUUCAGCGGGGAGGCGUUACUCGCAGAAGAAGCACCGGCUAACUCCGUGCCAGCAGCCGCGGUAAUAC
rnacentral:rRNA from 1 species